rnacentral:rRNA from 1 species
CCUACGGGAGGCAGCAGUGGGGAAUAUUGCACAAUGGGGGAAACCCUGAUGCAGCGACGCCGCGUGAGUGAAGAAGUAUCUCGGUACGUAAAGCUCUAUCAGCAGGGAAGAAAAUGACGGUACCUGACUAAGAAGCCCCGGCUAACUACGUGCCAGCAGCCGCGGUAAUACGUAGGGGGCAAGCGUUAUCCGGAUUUACUGGGGGUAAAGGGAGCGUAGACGGCGCUGCAAGUCCGGAGUGAAAGCACAUGGCUUAACCAUGGUACUGCUUUGGAAACUGUAGAGCUUGAGUGCGGGAGAGGCAGGCGGAAUUCCUGGUGUAGCGGUGAAAUGCGUAGAUAGUAGGAUGAACACCAGCGGCGAAGGCGGCCUGCUGGACCGUAACUGACGUUGAGGCUCGAAAGCGUGGGGAGCAAACAGGAUUAGAUACCCCAGUAGUC